GUAAAGAAGUUAAUGCAUCAGAUGGAGAAUUUUUUUUUUUGUUAUUUUAUCCAAAGAACCAAUUCAACCAGUAUAAUAUACAAUCUUUUAUGUUUCUUAUCAAAAAGAAAAUAUAUAUGUGACAACGUCUUUACUGUAUAUAGAAUCAGUUUCAUCGAAACACUCAUUGACAAUACAACAAUCAAGAAGCCUUCUUUUUUUAAGACGCAAUAAAAAAUCAACAAAUAUAAACAAAAUCACAUCGAAAUUGCAAAAGUUUUGAUAUAUUUGUGUGUUUUUUUUUUUAAUCUCUUGAAGAUUUAUUGUGUGUGAUUGGAAAUUCAAUUUCAGUGAGAACAAAAUGAUAUCUCUACCAGCAACAUACGUUGAGGGAUUCCAUGAUCGUGAAGCUGUUGAAGCAAUGGAAUAUAGAACAUUGGGAAAAACUGGUCUUAAAAUAAGUAAACUUUCUCUUGGAGGCGGAACAUUUAGUAAUCUCUAUGGUGAGUGUAAUGAGGAGGAGGUUAUAGAACUCGUGAGAACUGCAAUAAAACAAGGAAUUAAUUAUUUGGACACUGCUCCAUGGUAUGGACAGGGACGAUCAGAAACUUUAUUUGGCAAGGCCCUGAAAGGAAUUCCACGUCAGGCUUAUUAUAUUGCAACAAAAGUUGGAAGGUAUGAAUUAGAUCAGGAUCGUAUGUUUGAUUAUACAAUUGAAAAAACAAGGCAAAGUUUUCAUAAGAGUUUGGAAUUAUUGUGUUUGGAUUACGUUGAUGUAAUUCAGGUGCACGAUAUUGAAUUUGCACCAUCGUUGGAUAUAGUUGUUAGUCAAACAUUGCCAGAAUUAUCGAGACAAGUAAUUGAAGGAAAAGCGAAAUUUAUUGGUAUCACUGGUUAUCCAGUAUCAAUACUCAAAGAAUGCAUCGAACGAAGCAACAUAAAUAUAUCGACAGUUUUAAGUUUUGCCAGAUUUACACUCAUGGAUGAUAAUUUAUUGCAAUAUAUUCCAUUUUUUAAGAAACACAAUAUUGGAAUUAUUAAUGCGGCUCUAACUUGCAUGGGUAUUUUAACUAAUAAAGGACCACCAGAAUGGCAUCCAGCAUCAAAUGAUAUUAAACAACAAUGUAGAGAAGCAGCUCGUUGUUGCAAGGAUCAUGAUAUUGAAUUGGCUAGAUUGUCAGUUUGGGGCUCAAUGGAGUGUGAAGAUGUUAGCAGUAAUUUGGUUGGAAUGAAAAAUUUAACUGAACUAAAUGCUAAUUUGGAUGUCGUGAGAAAUGGCAUUUCAGAGCAAGAAAAAAUUUUACUAAAAGAAAUUCAAGAAAAUUCCCGUUAUCAGAGACUUUUAAAAUGCCUCGUUUGACUGUUGACAUACGCGACAAUAUUUCUCUCUUUGUGAAUGUAUAAAUCUCAAAAUGCUGUUCAAAAACGUAUCAUAAUUACGAUAUUUAUCGAAAGUGAAAGGUCAACAUUGGGAAAAUGAUUGGAUGCACCAAUCAUGGGAUUCAGUAAAAAAAUAAUUGUACAUAAACAUAUUUUAUAUACUUGAAAAAAAAUGAAUUAAAUAACAAACAACAGAAUGUAAAUUGUUGUAAGAAAAAAAAAUUGUUUACCGAGUUCUGCUUUUAAAAUAGUAAAAUAUUUUUUAAAAUAA